rnacentral:rRNA from 1 species
GUCCUGGCCUUAAACGAUGGAUGCUUGGUGUUUGGGGUUUUAUAGUCCCCGGGUGCCGUAGCUAACGCGUUAAGCAUCCCGCCUGGGGAGUACGGUCGCAAGACUGAAACUCAAAGGAAUUGACGGGACCCGCACAAGCGGUGGAGCAUGUGGUUCAAUUCGACGCAACGCGAAGAACCUUACCUGGGCUAGAAUGCCUCUGACAACUCCAGAGAUGGAGCCUCUUAGGGAAACCUAGGCAGAGUGCAAGGUGCUGCAUGGCUGUCGU